CUAAACCUUCUGACCCUAGCCUUCAAAGUUCGAAUGGCCUCGAGAAAUUAACCCUAAUCCCUAAUAUGGCCUCGGAUAGACUCCUCAAAGCCCAUUGGUUAUGAUUUUUGACCAAUAGGAAUGGAGAUUUUCAUUAUUCAUCUCCAUUCAUCUAUAUUGGUGCCCUAAUUACUCCCUUUGCUACCAAAAUCCUUCUUCAAUCCUUUUUCUUACAAGAUUUACAUAAUUUAUGCUCUAAACACCAAAUAAAAGAAUCAAAAUAAGUUUUCAAAUGUCACCAAUGUCUAUCAAAGGUGACUCUAAAUAUUUAGAAGUUACUAUCAACCAAAACCAAUCUUAAAAGCCACUAUCAAAAGAAAAUUAAAGUUAUACAAAUUCUAUAAUAAUCUUUUU
rnacentral:lncRNA from 1 species